AUUGAACGCUGGCGGCAGGCCUAACACAUGCAAGUCGAGCGAGCGGCGGACGGGUGAGUAAUGUAUAGGGACUGCCCGAUAGCGGGGGAUAACUACUGGAAACGGAAGCUAAUACCUCAUACUAUGGGAUAAACCAUAUGGGAUGAGCUAGUCGGUGAGGUAAUGGCUCACCUAGGCGACGAUGCCUAGCUGGUCUGAGAGGAUGAUCAGUCACACGGCGACGGAGAUACGGCCAAAAGUCCAAGGGAGGCAGGAGUGGAGAAUCUUGCACAAGGGGCGCAAGCCUGAUGUAGCCAUGCGGCGGGUACGAAGAAGGCCCUAGGGGUGUAAAGUACUAUCAGUCUGGAGGCGUUACCGAAAGAAGAAGCACCGGCUAACUCCGUGCCAGCAGCCGCGGUAAUUC
rnacentral:rRNA from 1 species